rnacentral:tRNA from 1 species
GCAUCCGUAGCUCAGCUGGAUAGAGUACUCGGCUACGAACCGAGCGGUCGGAGGUUCGAAUCCUCCCGAAUCCUCCCGGAUGCACCA